rnacentral:rRNA from 1 species
UUAAAUUGAAGAGUUUGAUCAUGGCUCAGAUUGAACGCUGGCGGCAGGCCUAACACAUGCAAGUCGAACGGUAACAGGAAGAAGCUUGCUUCUUUGCUGACGAGUGGCGGACGGGUGAGUAAUGUCUGGGAAACUGCCUGAUGGAGGGGGAUAACUACUGGAAACGGUAGCUAAUACCGCAUAACGUCGCAAGACCAAAGAGGGGGACCUUCGGGCCUCUUGCCAUCGGAUGUGCCCAGAUG